UACGUAGGGUGCGAGCGUUGUCCGGAAUUAUUGGGCGUAAAGAGCUCGUAGGCGGUGUGUCGCGUCGGUCGUGAAAACUUGGGGCUUAACCCUGAGCUUGCGGUCGAUACGGGCAUCACUGGAGUUCGGCAGGGGAGACUGGAAUUCCUGGUGUAGCGGUGAAAUGCGUAGAUAUUGGAAAGAACACCGAUGGCGAAGGCACUUUACUGGGCUAUUACUAACACUCAGAGACGAAAGCUAGGGUAGCAAAUGGG
rnacentral:rRNA from 1 species